GACGAACGCUGGCGGCGUGCUUAACACAUGCAAGUCGAACGAUGAUGCUGGAGCUUGCUCCAGUUGAUUAGUGGCGAACGGGUGAGUAACACGUGAGCAAUCUGCCCUUGACUCUGCGAUAACUGCGGGAAACUGUAGCUAAUACCGGAUACUUUCACCGGGGGGCAUCCUCUGUGAUGAAAGAAUUUCGGUCAAGGAUGAGCUCGCGGCCUAUCAGCUUGUUGGUGAGGUAACGGCGCACCAAGGCGACGACGGGUAACCGGCCUGUGAGGGUGACCGGGCACACUGGGACUGAGACACGGCCCUGACUCCUACGGGAGGCAGCAGUGGGGAAUAUUGCACAAUGGGCGCAAGCCUGAUGCAGCAACGCCGCGUGAGGGAUGAAGGCCUUCGGGUUGUAAACCUCUUUUAGCAGGGAAGAAGCGAAAGUGACGGUACCUGCAGAAAAAGCACCGGCUAACUACGUGCCAGCCGCCGCAGUAA
rnacentral:rRNA from 1 species